CAGAUUUGAGUUACUGCAGUAGUGUAACUUUGAAAAUACACUAAAAAUAGUGGAAAAUGAGUUAGAGGUAGAAUAAAAUAUGGUAUUAAAUCUUAAUGAGUCUAUAUUCAGAUGAAAGAAACAAGAGAAGAAAAAGAAUUCCAUAUUGUGUGAUAUUUGAAUUCUUGUGAAACAGGGUCUGAAUGAAUUCGAGAUCCCCUAUUCUGAAUUUAGAAAUUCACUAAAAAUUGUACAAAAAUUAUUAAGAGUCAUACCUUACAUGCAUGGAUUCCUUAUUGAGUCUAUUCUUAU
rnacentral:lncRNA from 1 species